UACGGGGGGGCAAGCGUUGUUCGGAAUUACUGGGCGUAAAGGGCUCGUAGGCGGCCAACUAAGUCGGACGUGAAAUCCCUCGGCUUAACCGGGGAACUGCGUCCGAUACUGGAUGGCUUGAGUUCGGGAGAGGGAUGCGGAAUUCCAGGUGUAGCGGUGAAAUGCGUAGAUAUCUGGAGGAACACCGGUGGCGAAGGCGGCAUCCUGGACCGGCAUUGACGCUGAGGAGCGAAAGCCAGGGGAGCAAACGGG
rnacentral:rRNA from 1 species